rnacentral:rRNA from 1 species
UGAUACUGUUUAUCUAGAGUACAUAUGAGGUAGGCGGAAUAUAGUAUGUAGCGGUGAAAUGCAUAGAUAUACUAUAGAACACCGAUUGCGAAGGCAGCUUACUAAAUUGUUACUGACGCUGAGGCACGAAAGCGUGGGGAGCGAACAGGAUUAGAUACCCUGGUAGUCCACGCAGUAAACGAUGAUUACUCGAUGUUGGCGAUACACUGUCAGCGUCUGCGCGAAAGCAUUAAGUAAUCCACCUGGGGAGUACGAUCGCAAGGUUGAAACUCAAAGGAAUUGACGGGGGCCCGCACAAGCGGAGGAGCAUGUGGUUUAAUUCGAUGAUACGCGAGGAACCUUACCUGGGCUUAAAUGUAGUGUGCAUUAGCGAUGAAAAUCCUAUUUCCUUCGGGACCCACUACAAGGUGCUGCAUGGUUGUCGUCAGCUCGUGCCGUGAGGUGUCGGGUUAAGUCCCAUAACGAGCGCAACCCCUAUUCUUAGUUGCCAUCAGGUAAUGCUGGGGACUCUAAGAAAACUGCCGGCGCAAGCCGUGAGGAAGGUGGGGAUGACGUCAAAUCAGCACGGCCCUUAUGUCCAGGGCUACACACGUGCUACAAUGGUCGGCACAAAGGGCAGCUACACAGCGAUGUGAUGCUAAUCUCCAAAGCCGAUCCUAGUUCGGAUCGAAGUCUGCAAUUCGACUUCGUGAAGUUGGAUUCGCUAGUAAUCGUAUAUCAGCAAUGAUACGGUGAAUAUGUUCCCGGGCAUGUACACACCGCCCGUCAAGCCAUGGAAGCUGAGGUACCUGA